CCUACGGGGCGCAGCAGUAGGGAAUCUUUCACAAUGGGCGAAAGCCUGAUGGAGCAACGCCGCGUGCAGGAUGAAGGCCUUCGGGUUGUAAACUGCUUUUAUAAGCGAGCAAUAUGAUGGUAACUUAUGAAUAAGGAUCGGCUAACUACGUGCCAGCAGCCGCGGUCAUACGUAGGAGCCGAGCAUUAUCCGGAGUGACUGGGUGUAAAGAGUGGCGUAGGUGGCAUAAUAAGUAGCUAGUGAAAUCUGGUGGCUCAACCAUUCAGACUAUUAGCUAAACUGUUAAGCUCGAGACAGUUAGGGGUAACUGGAAUUUCUAGUGUAGGAGUGAAAUCCGUAGAUAUUAGAAUGAACACCAGUAGCGUAGGCAGGUUGCUGGGACGGUUCUGACACUAAGGCACGAAAGUGUAGGGAGCAAACGGGAUUAGAUACCCGGGUAGUC
rnacentral:rRNA from 1 species